GCAGGAAAAGAGGAAAGUUUCAAAGUAGAAGAACGAUGAACAGUCGUAUCCUCGACUGUUCAUUUUUCUUCUACUUUGAAACUUUCCUAUUUUCCUGC
rnacentral:pre_miRNA from 1 species